rnacentral:rRNA from 1 species
UACGUAGGGGGCGAGCGUUGUCCGGAGUUACUGGGCGUAAAGGGCAUGCAGGCGGUCCGACACGUUUUGUGUGACAGCGGGUGGCUUAACUACCCGAGGAUACGAAAGACGGUUGGACUUGAGGACUCGAGAGGGACACGGAAUUCCGGGUGGAGUGGUGAAAUGCGUAGAGACCCGGAGGAACACCGAAGGCGAAGGCAGUGUCCUGGCGAGUGACUGACGCUGAGGUGCGAAAGCCAGGGGAGCGAACGGG